GAGUGAGUGGCGGACGGGUGAGUAACACGUGGGUAACCUGCCCUAAAGUGGGGGAUAACAUUUGGAAACAGAUGCUAAUACCGCAUAAAACCUAGCACCGCAUGGUGCAAGGUUGAAAGAUGGUUUCGGCUAUCACUUUAGGAUGGACCCGCGGUGCAUUAGUUAGUUGGUGAGGUAAAGGCUCACCAAGACCGUGAUGCAUAGCCGACCUGAGAGGGUAAUCGGCCACACUGGGACUGAGACACGGCCCAGACUCCUACGGGAGGCAGCAGUAGGGAAUCUUCCACAAUGGACGAAAGUCUGAUGGAGCAACGCCGCGUGAGUGAAGAAGGUUUUCGGAUCGUAAAACUCUGUUGUUGGAGAAAAACGUAUUUGAUAGUAACUGAUCAGGUAGUGACGGUAUCCAACCAGAAAGCCACGGCUAACUACGUGCCAGCAGCCGCGGUAAUACGUAGGUGGCAAGCGUUGUCCGGAUUUAUUGGGCGUAAAGCGAGCGCAGGCGGUUUCUUAAGUCUGAUGUGAAAGCCUUCGGCUCAACCGAAGAAGUGCAUCGGAAACUGGGAAACUUGAGUGCAGAAGAGGACAGUGGAACUCCAUGUGUAGCGGUGAAAUGCGUAGAUAUAUGGAAGAACACCAGUGGCGAAGGCGGCUGUCUGGUCUGUAACUGACGCUGAGGCUCGAAAGCAUGGGUAGCAAACAGGAUUAGAUACCCUGGUAGUCCAUGCCGUAAACGAUGAGUGCUAGGUGUUGGAGGGUUUCCGCCCUUCAGUGCCGCAGCUAACGCAUUAAGCACUCCGCCUGGGGAGUACGACCGCAAGGUUGAAACUCAAAGGAAUUGACGGGGGCCCGCACAAGCGGUGGAGCAUGUGGUUUAUUCGAAGCAACGCGAAGAACCUUACCAGGUCUUGACAUCCUUUGACCACUCUAGAGAUAGAGCUUUCCCUUCGGGGACAAAGUGACAGGUGGUGCAUGGUUGUCGUCACCUCGUGUCGUGAGAUGUUGGGUUAAGUCCCCCAACGAGC
rnacentral:rRNA from 1 species